rnacentral:rRNA from 1 species
UACGUAGGGGGCAAGCGUUUUCCGGAUUUACUGGGUGUAAAGGGCGCGCAGGUGGGCUUGAUAGUUAGAGGUGAAAUCCUGUGGCUUAACUGCAGAACUGCCUUUAAUACUUCAAGUCUUGAGUGCGGAAGAGAGAGACGGAAUUCCAGGUGUAGUGGUGAAAUACGUAGAUAUCUGGAAGAACACCAGUUGCGAAGGCGGUCUCUUGGUCCGUAACUGACACUUAGGCGCGAAAGCGUGGGGAGCAAACAGG